UACGUAGGGAGCGAGCGUUGUCCGGAAUCAUUGGGCGUAAAGCGCGCGUAGGCUGCCCGAUCAGUCCGCUGUAAAAGUCAAAGGCUCAACCUUUGAAGGCCGGUGGAUACUGUCGGGCUAGAGUCCGGAAGAGGCGAGUGGAAUUCCUGGUGUAGCGGUGGAAUGCGCAGAUAUCAGGAGGAACACCAAUAGCGAAGGCAGCUCGCUGGGACGGUACUGACGCUAAGGCGCGAAAGCGUGGGGAGCGAACAGGAUUAGAAACCCGGUAGUCC
rnacentral:rRNA from 1 species